UGGGGAAUAUUGGGCAAUGGAGGCAACUCUGACCCAGCAACGCCGCGUGAGUGAUGAAGGUCUUCGGAUUGUAAAACUCUUUAAGUGGGGACGAAGAAAGUGACUGUACCCACAGAAUAAGCCUCGGCUAACUACGUGCCAGCAGCCGCGGUAAUACGUAGGAGGCAAGCGUUAUCCGGAAUGACUGGGCGUAAAGGGUGCGUAGGUGGUUCGACAAGUUGGUAGCGUAAUUCCGGGGCUCAACCUCGGCGCUACUACCAAAACUGUUGGGCUUGAGUGCAGGAGGGGCAGAUGGAAUUCCUAGUGUAGCGGUGGAAUGCGUAGAUAUUAGGAGGAACACCAGUGGCGAAGGCGAUCUGCUGGACUGUAACUGACACUGAGGCACGAAAGCGUGGGGAGCAAACAGGAUUAGAUACCC
rnacentral:rRNA from 1 species